AGAGUUUGAUCCUGGCUCAGAUUGAACGCUGGCGGCAGGCCUAACACAUGCAAGUCGGACGGUAGCACAGAGGAGCUUGCUCCUUGGGUGACGAGUGGCGGACGGGUGAGUAAUGUCUGGGGAUCUGCCCGAUAGAGGGGGAUAACCACUGGAAACGGUGGCUAAUACCGCAUAACGUCGCAAGACCAAAGAGGGGGACCUUCGGGCCUCUCACUAUCGGAUGAACCCAGAUGGGAUUAGCUAGUAGGCGGGGUAAUGGCCCACCUAGGCGACGAUCCCUAGCUGGUCUGAGAGGAUGACCAGCCACACUGGAACUGAGACACGGUCCAGACUCCUACGGGAGGCAGCAGUGGGGAAUAUUGCACAAUGGGCGCAAGCCUGAUGCAGCCAUGCCGCGUGUAUGAAGAAGGCCUUCGGGUUGUAAAGUACUUUCAGCGGGGAGGAAGGCGACGGGGUUAAUAACCCUGUCGAUUGACGUUACCCGCAGAAGAAGCACCGGCUAACUCCGUGCCAGCAGCCGCGGUAAU
rnacentral:rRNA from 1 species